GAUGAACGCUAGCUACAGGCUUGACACAUGCAAGUCGAGGGGUAACGAGAGGGAAGCUUGCUUUCCUUGUCGACGACCGGCGGAUGGGUGAGUAACGCGUAUCCAACCUGCCCUUCAGUAAGGGAUAGCCUUUCGAAAGAAAGAAUAAUACCUUAUGUGAUCGUCUGAUGACAUCAGACGACGAUGAAAGAUUUAUCGCUGAAGGAUGGGGAUGCGUCCCAUUCGGCAGUAGGCGGGGUGACGGCCCACCUAACCUACGAUGGGUAGGGGUUCUGAGAGGAAGGUCCCCAACAUUGGAACUGGGACACGGUCCAAACUCCUACGGGAGGCAGCAGUGAGGAAUAUUGGUAAAUGGCCGUAAGGCUGAACCAGCCAAGUAGCGUGCAGGAUGACGGCCCUAUGGGUUGUAAACUGCUUUUAAACGGGGAUAAAGUGAGCCACGUGUGGUUUAUUGCAGGUACCGUUUGAAUAAGGACCGGCUAAUUCCGUGCCAGCAGCCGCCGUAA
rnacentral:rRNA from 1 species